UGGUGGAAAUCAUUACUAGUACUUUUUUUUUGUUCUUAUUGUUAUUGUUCUGCUUCUUCAUCUUCGUCAUCACCAUCAUAUCAUUAUUAUCAUUGUUAUUAUUAUCAUCAUCAUCGUCAUCGUCAGGCCCUAUGGAUGCCCCGCCCACACCUGCCCGUCAGCCAAUCAGCGCGCAGAUCACCUGACAUCACCUGCCCGCCCAGCCAAUCACCGCCCGCCUCUCCCGACCCUUUUAAGCAGGACAGAUGGGAGGCCAAACGAAGGGAGGAGAAGCCUAUGUGGAAGGAGGAGGAAGAGGAGGAGGAGGAGGAGUGGGGUGGAGGCAGUGGGGGGCGGCGUGCUUGACCCGUGCGAGGGGGGCGGCGUCCCAGAUCGGUCUCUACAUUUUCUUUAUAUUGUACACGGCUGGGGGGGCCUUGGUCUUCCAAGCCCUCGAGCACCCCCACGAGGUCAGGACGAAGCAGGAGGUGUCUCGUGGCCUCGUCGAAAUGAGGCAACACUUACUGACAACCAUCACCAACCUUACGUCACCCGACCUGAUGAUGCAUACGGUGAGAGAUAGAGAUAGAUAGAUAGAGAGAGAGAGAGAGAGAGAGAGAGAGAGAGAGAGAGAGAGAAGAUAAGAUAAUGAGAUAGGCCUGAAAUACAGUCUAGGUCCAGAUGUGUUUUCUUCUUUGUUUUUUGUUUGCUUUCUUGUUUACUUACCUCGUGUGUUUUAAAAGGAAAGGAAGAGAUAGUGUUGGACUCUCUCUCUCUCUCUCUCUCUCUCUCUCUCUCUCUCUC